rnacentral:rRNA from 1 species
AAUCGAGCGGACAGAUGGGAGCUUGCUCCCUGAUGUUAGCGGCGGACGGGUGAGUAACACGUGGGUAACCUGCCUGUAAGACUGGGAUAACUCCGGGAAACCGGGGCUAAUACCGGAUGCUUGAUUGAACCGCAUGGUUCAAUUAUAAAAGGUGGCUUUUAGCUACCACUUACAGAUGGACCCGCGGCGCAUUAGCUAGUUGGUGAGGUAACGGCUCACCAAGGCAACGAUGCGUAGCCGACCUGAGAGGGUGAUCGGCCACACUGGGACUGAGACACGGCCCAAACUCCUACGGGAGGCAGCAGUAGGGAAUCUUCCGCAAUGGACGAAAGUCUGACGGAGCAACGCCGCGUGAGUGAUGAAGGUUUUCGGAUCGUAAAACUCUGUUGUUAGGGAAGAACAAGUACCGUUCGAAUAGGGCGGUACCUUGACGGUACCUAACCAGAAAGCCACGGCUAACUACGUGCCAGCAGCCGCGGUAAUACGUAGGUGGCAAGCGUUGUCCGGAAUUAUUGGGCGUAAAGCGCGCGCAGGCGGUUUCUUAAGUCUGAUGUGAAAGCCCCCGGCUCAACCGGGGAGGGUCAUUGGAAACUGGGGAACUUGAGUGCAGAAGAGGAGAGUGGAAUUCCACGUGUAGCGGUGAAAUGCGUAGAGAUGUGGAGGAACACCAGUGGCGAAGGCGACUCUCUGGUCUGUAACUGACGCUGAGGCGCGAAAGCGUGGGGAGCGAACAGGAUUAGAUACCCUGGUAGUCCACGCCGUAAACGAUGAGUGCUAAGUGUUAGAGGGUUUCCGCCCUUUAGUGCUGCAGCAAACGCAUUAAGCACUCCGCCUGGGGAGUACGGUCGCAAGACUGAAACUCAAAGGAAUUGACGGGGGCCCGCACAAGCGGUGGAGCAUGUGGUUUAAUUCGAAGCAACGCGAAGAACCUUACCAGGUCUUGACAUCCUCUGACAACCCUAGAGAUAGGGCUUCCCCUUCGGGGGCAGAAUGACAGGUGGUGCAUGGUUGUCGUCACCU